rnacentral:lncRNA from 1 species
AGGUGAUGGGAACUGGGGGGAGCAAAGAGUGGGGAACUGGGCAGGGUCUGGCGGGGCUGUGGUGGGGGAAGCUGAAGCAUGAAGGCUCGAGGAGCACACAGACACCUACACACAGCUCCGCGGGCAUGUGGGGACCCAGACCCACCCCCACAGCAGACACCCCCACAGAGCACUCAUGGCCCCCACAGAAAUACACCCACACUCAUCACAGCAAACCAAAACAAUCACACGCCGGUACACAAACACACACACCCCCGCACCAAUCCAGGCAGACACAAAGCUCACGGCGACAGGCAGAUCUGAUUCACACAGACACAGGCACAGGUGCUUCCUGAUGCCACCCUCUCUUGGUCACGUGCCAGCACUUGGAGGGAGGAAAGUGCCUCACCAGGCUGAGAUGCCCAAGGGACCCCCCAGGGAGGGAAAGCAGGACACACUGGGACAGUUGCUUCCAGCCCUGUCCACACCCUUGUGCCCAUCAGGCCAAGCCACUGGUGAAUAUGCUGCAAAAAAUAUGCUGGAACUUCUAUGAAUACCACAGGGUGUGAGAAGAAAACAUUAGAACUUCUAUUUUGUACCUGUGUUACUCCACAACAAGAAAGCAAUCAGCUUGAUCAAUGCCUACUGUAAAGACGGCACCGCCCUCCGGAGGUCCUUUCUCAGCCCUGGUGUUCGGACAGCCACAUCCCCUCGCAGCAGGGGGAGGCCUGAAGCAUAGAGGGGCCCAUGCAGGUCUAUUCUGUUUCAGCGAAUUGCCUGGGAAAUAAUCCAGGAUCCAUUUCGUGUGGUCAUCUUGUCUCCCUGGUCCCCUCCAGCCUUUCCUCAUCUUUUGUGACCUGGUCACUCUGGAAGGGCGCUGGCCAGUUAGUCCACAGGAUGGGCCUCCCCUGGGGCUUUUCUGAUGCUUCCUUAUGAUGGCACUGGCAUCCUGAGGGGGAGGACCACAGAGAGGAGGUGCUCCUCAUCACACCACAUGGGGGUCCAUGCACCAGUGCCACUGCUUUCCAGGGCUCUUCACCUUCAUCACUGGUGGAGGUGGCGUCUGCCAAGAAGCAGAAAGUUGAGGCUUAGAAGGUGCACGGCCCUACCUCUUCCGAGGUGCCCCUGCGGGCUGUCUACAGACCAGGCAGCACAUGCCUGAUAGCAGCUGCAUAAGGAAAAGCAGGAGCCAGCUCGUGCACAGUGGCCUCAAGUGUGCACUGGGCAUGUUCUCUGCCUCACCAUCCCUGUGUGACAGAUGAAGCAUGGCAAGCCAGGCUCCAGAGAAGCAUCCUGAGGACCAGUGUUCCUAGGGACCUCAUUCUUCUGACCUCAUUCCUACAACGUUUUGUCACUGCAAAGGAAAUCACCAAGGCCAGCAUGACAGCCCUCAACAGAAGCCAAGGCCAAGUCCUCGAACUUCCUAGUCUGCACAAUGACAAGUGAGCUCAUGGAAACCUCUCCAUCGUUGACCAGGAUCUAUAGGAAAACCCUCCUCUUCUUCUAUAUGCAAAGGCUGCACAGCUCCUGGUUCACCUGCACCUCUCCAGACCACCAUGGUGCCUGCAGCUCUGAGGGCAUUUUAAAUCAUCACAGAACAACAAGCAUAUAAGCAUCAUGAGCGCCUCUGGACCUCUGACGUGCCUUGUGGAGGCCUGCCAGGCCCACGUUUUAAUUUACAUGAACUCGAUGCCCUUUUUGACAGGGAGAGAUCUGUUUCUUUAUUUGUUAGCCUUUCCCCUGGACCUGCUAGAUCUGGACCAUCCCCAGGAAAGGAAGGUCACACCACAAAGAUAAAUAUAAACAAAAUGAGUUAAUUAAGAAGGAGUUAGUCUGAAAUUCAAUAUUCCCAA